UACGGAGGGUGCAAGCGUUAUCCGGAUUCACUGGGUUUAAAGGGUGCGUAGGUGGGCAGGUAAGUCAGUGGUGAAAUCUCCGGGCUUAACCCGGAAACUGCCAUUGAUACUAUCGGUCUUGAAUACCGUGGAGGUGAGCGGAAUAUGUCAUGUAGCGGUGAAAUGCUUAGAUAUGACAUAGAACACCAAUUGCGAAGGCAGCUCACUACCCGGAUAUUGACACUGAGGCACGAAAGCGUGGGGAUCAAACAGG
rnacentral:rRNA from 1 species